rnacentral:lncRNA from 1 species
AUGCCUGGGAAACCAGGACCUCCUGGACCUAAGGGUCUUAUGGGACUGAAAGUAAUAGGAGCCAAAGGAAGAAAGGGUGACACUGGGUUAACUGGACCCCCUGGGCCCCCAGGAACUGUUAUUGUGACGUUAAGUGGACCAGACAACAUGACGGACUUGAAAGGAGAAAAAGGAGAAAAAGGAUCAAGAGGACCCCCAGGGCCAAUGGGGUUUACAGGGCCGGUUGGUGACUCUCUAAGUGAAAAGGGUGACCAAGGAGAACCAGGAGCACAGGGAAAGCCUGGAAAAGAAGGUGCCCCAGGUCCACCUGGUUUACCGGUAAUGAAGGAACCCUUCUAAAUGUUUUCUAAGUUAUAGUCAUCUGUUUAUGACAGUUCUAUCUUUCUGUCACAGCUUUUCUCUCAUUCUGGAAUGUGUUUCAAAAUGUUUAUUUGCAUACACUGAAACAUUUCCUUCACACAGCUGGCUUUGGAAAAUACCAUAUCCUCACAGAUUUAUGUGCAGGAGGCAGAGGCUCAGUUCAUAUAUGUUAUUGUUUCUAUGUCAAAUAGAAAGACCCGUUGCUUGCUGCUGACUCUCUAAUGAGUUUGAGACACACUCCAAGUUAAGCAAAAGUAAUUCUGCUGAGUUUUUUAUGGUUAGUCACAUUUAAUUUUUUGCAAAAUUCUUAUACCUUCCCUUUAACAUAAAUCGAGAAGAGAAAUGAAUAGUGUGUAAUCACUAGGAUCAAAGACAUUGUUUUGUGAAGAAAAGUUAUUGUCAGGGUCAUGGCUGUCUUAGCCUGGAACAAGAUAACUGAUAGCUAUUAAACUGUCAAUUUGUCAACAUAUAGUUCUUAAAAUAUGCUGUUUUAGAAGCAAAAUAGUCUCAUUUGUAUACUAAUUUAGAAGUUGGAGUUGUUCAAAUGUGUUUGAAAUACUGUAUUAAAUUGGUUAAAUAUCAGUUCUUUUUACUUCAUCUCUACUUUCACAUCAUUAGAGUCACAAUGACCUUACAAAUAUCUUACCAAAAUUCUUACUGCCAGAAUAGCCCAUUGCACAUGUAUCUACUAUACCAUCAUCUUUGUCAUGCUAAAACGACCUUCACAGGCAGUCUAAACACAUUCCAGUCUGACAAAGAACACUGAAUGACAGACUGCAAAACUCUACUGCCUCAGCUAACAGAAAGAAAAUUUUCUGUCAUGACAAAGGCAAGUCAUUGCUCUGUUCCCAUUUCAGCUUUACUCACUAGCAAUGCAUUCAACUGCAUGAGCCUCCAAGAAGUCCCUCUCCCUUGCCUGUAUUCAUUUGCAGAAAGCCUUAGUCUGCACUAUUUUCUCUGGUGCUGCUGACACCUCUUGAGAUCAGCACCAUCUGCAGACUGAGUUCUGGGGGAGGGUGUUGAGUAGGAGAGUCUUGUAUUGUGUUCAGCUUCUCCCCUUCAGAAAUAGUUUGCAGAGGGAGAACAGAUCA